rnacentral:rRNA from 1 species
AACGCGAAGAACCUUACCUGGGCUCGAAGCGCAGUGGACCGGGGUAGAAAUAUCCCUUCCCCUUAAAAGGCUGCUGCGGAGGUGCUGCAUGGCUGUCGUCAGCUCGUGUCGUGAGAUGUUGGGUUAAGUCCCGCAACGAGCGCAACCCUUAUCCCUAGUUGCCAUCGGGUCAAGCCGGGCACUCUAGUGAAACUGCCUCGGAUAACGAGGAGGAAGGUGGGGAUGACGUCAAGUCCUCAUGGCCUUUAUGUCCAGGGCUACACACGUGCUACAAUGGUCGGUACAAACCGUCGCAAACCCGUGAGGGGGAGCUAAUCGGAAAAAGCCGGCCUCAGUUCGGAUUGGAGUCUGCAACUCGACUCCAUGAAGCUGGAAUCGCUAGUAAUCGCGGAUCAGAACGCCGCGGUGAAUACGUUCCCGGGCCUUGUA